CGAUGCAUCUGUAUCCAUCCCUUAUUCUGCGUUACAUAUGUAUACUCCAUUAAAGAAAGUGAAAUGACAGCAUACAGCUUGGCAUGCGUCGGUUCGUCUUCUCAUCUCAUCAGAGUCGAGACCUGUUCGUGGAGAUGACCGCUUGUUUUUGGGCUUGCGGACCAUAGAAAGAACACCUCUUUUGUCGACUGGUUUCAUGUCAUCGUUCGACAGGUGUCUUAUUUCUGCGUACGUGCUGCUGUGCGUAGCCAAGCGCCUCCAAUGUCCGCCCUCGUCCACGUAGUGUCAUGCUUGCGCCAUGCCUGCCGCCGUCGCCUACAUGGCUUCACUUACAGAUCGGAGGUUGAAUACUGCUUUGCUUAGUUAAGGAGUCACAAGAUAAUGCCGCCCAGCAUCAGCAGUGGAGAGGAGGAAUUCUUAGCAGCAUCCGAGAAGGCGCCAAGUCCGUCCUUGGAGCCGUCAUCGGAAGAACCCAGGAGCCGACGAACCAAACCCCCGAAAAUAGAGGCGAGCACAAGGACUCGGAGGCGAUGAAGGCAAAGGACACGAAGGAGACUGCCCCUGCCGAUAACGCGCCCGAGAGCAUGGAAACGACAGCCGGGACGAGAAGUGAGCACGACUACAGACGUCCGUUGGCUAGCGAUGCUCGUCGGGCGAUUGACUACUUCACCGGCAAGGAGGAGACAAGAAAAUGGAUCGCGGAGACCGGAGAGUCCACGCCGGCUCAGUUAGGACAAACGGAUGAGGUGGCGAGACAGCAGCGUGAAGAGGCAAGGCUGAGGGAGGCGGAGGCGGAGGAUAGGCCGAGGGCGGAGGAUAAGAGAAGGAAGGUCGAGCCAGGACUCAGUACAGAGGCUCAGAAGGGUUGAUUACAUAUUAUUACCCGUUAUAGUUAAUUAGUCUUAGUCCUUAUAUUUUAAAUAAUUAUAUUAACAUUCCUAUA